GUGGGAGGAUGGAGACAGCAGCCACCAAAGGCUGGGCAAGGCACAGGUCCAGGCUCUAGAUGAAGUCUUCCUUUCCCAAGGGAGGGGAAAGCCAGCAGGAUGUGAACCAGAGGUGGUGCUUUAGGAAAGCCCCUCCAGCCUGGGGAGGUGCUUUUGUCUCCAGACACAUUCCCAGUUCUCAGGAGCAGCAGAACCUGUGCUGUUUCCACCAGAAUCCUCUGAGGCUGAAACAAAGACAAGGAACCCUUUGAGAUGGAAAGAGCCAGAGCAAGUUGUUGUGGGGAAGGAAAAUUAAAAAUGCCCCCACCUAGAACUUGUGCUGCCGACGGAGUGCAAAACACCCCGGACAAACUGACAGCAGGAACCUGGGGGAGAGAGUUUUAUUUCCCAUGGAAAAGUUCUGCUGUUCAUGUCCAAGGUGCCGUGGCCAGGAGUGGGCUUCUGCCUCCAAAAAUUGGGAAUGGAGCAGGAAUUUUCUCAGACAGAGGCUGCCCCCACCUAGAAGUCAGGCUGCCCUUGGAGUGCCAAACACCUCUGACAAAGUGACAUCAGGACCCUGAGUGGGUGGUGGGGUGUGACAUUGAUGGCAGGGGUUUUUCCCCAGGACUGAGACUGAUGAAAGAGGCUGUUUUCUCGUGUUUGGGCUUGGUUGUUUAUUCUUUCCUUAUUUAUAUUACAUAUAUACAGGGUACAAGGAGUUACAUACACUAAGACAGAAAGGUGCAAAAUGGUUAACGAAGAAUCUCUUCAAGGUCUUUUAUAUGUCUAUUUGUCUGAUAAUCAAAUGCCAAAUAAGUUAGUUUUCUUAGUGACCUAAUGACCUGUGUGCUGCACUGUGGCAUCUUCUAUCCAAUCACUCAUUAUUACCCAAAAAUCCCUAGAAGAAGAAGAUGAAGGAGGAUGAAGGAGAAAGGGACAACGCCCUAAGUCCUCCAUCUUUGUCUCUUAUUUUUUAAAAUACCUUAAACUCUAAAAUAUUUUUUAAAAUACAUUAAACCUUAAACUCUAACUUUCUCACCCAGUGCUUAGGAAAGCUCUAACUCACACACUCACAUUUCCAGUUUCUCUAUUUAACUUUAAAAGCUGUCUCCAUGGUGUUAUGUGAAACUCAGUGCUCUCUUGGGUGUCAGAGCCAGGCAUCACAGAUUAGGGCACAUUCUGUUCCUCUGACCCCAGCAGAAAUGGGCCGCUGUUCGUGUCCAGGGACCCAUGGUCUUGAGUGGGCUUCUGCCUCCAAAAAUUAUGAACAGAGCAGGAUUUCUCUCAGACACAAGCUGCCUCUACCCAGAAGCUGGGCCACCCUUGGAGUGCUAAAUGCCUCUGACAAACUAAAAUCAGGAACCUGGGGGAUGAGUUUUCUUUCCUAUUGUAAAAGACCCCUGUUUGUGUCCAGGGGCCUGUGGCCAGGAGUGGGCUUCUGCCUCCAAAAAUUAGGAACGGAGCAGGAUUCUUCCUGGGCACAAGCCACCCCCACCUAGAACUUGGGCUGCCCUUGGAGUGACAAAUGACUCUGACAGACUGACAUCAGGAACCUGAGUGGUGCCAGGCACUGCUGUGGAGCUGCUGAUCCAC